UCAUGAAAAAUUGAAAAAUGUACCUAUACUUAAAGGUGAUCGUGAGAUCAGCGUUCGAAUCCCAUCUACAGCCUGCUGGAAAAUAAUGCUUUUGAUGUGUAAAUAACGGUGAGAGUGCUCUGUCUCUUAUGGAUGUUUUCCUUAAUAAUUCAACGGGCCGAGGUAUCUUAACGCUCAUUAUCUACGAAAGUUUGCACUGUAUCGUAGAAUUCGACUGUGCUGAUUGUGAUAGCAAAGUGGAAACAGUUUGGGGUCCUGAGGAUCAAUGCAGCCUCCUCACCGCUUUGGUUAAUGAAAUUAAUUGUUCUUGAAAAUGCCGAGGAUUAAGAAAGUGGCAUAGCAGAGUGUUUUGAAUUCCAUAGACAUCAUCAAAAGAGACGCAAGGCAAAAAAACAAAUUUAAUACUUACAAGAUGAUUAUUGCACCCAUUAUCAUCUUGAUAUAGCUUUUUCGAGAGGGAGCAAAGGACAGAGGAAUGACACGUAUGUAGGAGAGGUCGUAUCCAAAAGAUUCGGCCACAGAAGAUUCUUCCCAAGAAAACUGUGCGUGCACCGAAACUCGUUCAUUAGAUUACGUUCAGAAAAGCUCGACCCGAUGACUGAGACUCAGUGUGUGUGCGCUAUGCAUUGUGCCCCCUUCUGCAGUUGUCUUAUAAUUAAAAUUCGUUCCGGUGAACUUGAUUAGAAAAACUUUCCUCCUAGGAAACACGGUCCCAGGAAAAUUCACACCCGAAGGCGGACCAUAAAAUGUCUCCAAUGCAAUGAAAAAUUGUGCGCGGAAAAUCAUACGCAUGUCCAAGAUCCUUGCCCCCACCGUGACAACGUGUGUUACACCCUCAGAAACCCAAAAACCCGCAAAGUGAUCAAGAAGGCUUGCGGAGAACCUGACGUUUGUGAUAUUUACAUUUCAUGCUCAUCGUGCAAGAAAGAUCUUUGCAAUACCGACUGAGCAGAUCCCAGGUCUAAUAAAGCGAUCGCAUUAAUUGCAAUCUAUUUACUAAUAAACUAAUGAUCAUUU